rnacentral:lncRNA from 1 species
AGGGGUGCUCGCCUUGCGCUUUCUGCGAGGAGGGAAACUGCCCUCCAUCAAGUUGCUGACACAGCCCGUCAUCUUGGAUCUCCCGAUGUUAUCGUUAUGCGUGCCGAUGUUUCCAAGCCUGAGGACUGCAUGCGAUUGAUCGACCAAACUGUCAAUCAUUUUGGAAGACGUAUGUUAAUUACUACGUUAGUUCCUCUUCUUACUUAUUAGUUAAUAAUCGUUAAUCAUAACUAGUUGUGUGUGUGUGAUGGUGCCAGUGGAUCACCUUGUAAAUAACGCGGCAAUCAGCGUUGCUACCUUGUUUGAAGAAACCCCUGAUAUCUCCAAUUUGAGGCCUAUCAUGGUAUGUAAUUAAUCAAGAGAAAAAUUUAAGCCUGGCAAUUUUUACACCAAAAUUUUUAAUUUUGUGUAUAAAUAUCUGUGUUCUUUAUGGUAUAUUUUGUACUUCAACCAAUAUUAUACUAGUGACUGAUUUGACUGAUUUUAGUAUUGGUUGUUUUUAACUAUUAUUAACUGCCUGCUAUUUAAAAACAAUAAACUGUGCUAGUUCUAAAAUAUUGGUCAUUAAUCAGUUCCCUUUAAUUAUUCUUAGCUAGAUAUAUGUAUAUGAGUAUAUAGUUAAUAUUAUGUGAUAUAUACAUAUGUAGGAAACAAACUUUUGGGGAUCAGUAUACACAACCCGUUAUGCAUUACCGCAUCUGAGGAAGAGCAGAGGCAAAAUCGUGGUCAUGUCAUCUGUAGAUUCAUGGUUGCCUGCGCCCAGAAGGCACAUCUAUAGCGUAAGUAACACAUACGAGUUAAUAAUGCAUUGUGCAUAUUGAUGAAUUGUGAAUGUAACAGGC